rnacentral:tRNA from 1 species
GGAUGUGUAUGCAAGCGGUCAAAGCAGCCUGGCUGUAAACCAGGUGGUUAAUCCUUCGGAGGUUCGAAUCCAUCCCGCAUCCACCA